GCCAGCUGUCGGGCACUGACUCUCUGGGCUACAUUCUCCCGUGGGUUCUCUUUAACCCGCUUGGUUUCACCGCAGGGGAAUGCUGAAGAGACACAAGUGUUUUUGUUUUCUCUCUUAAAAAAUACAGAAACUGUAAUCUGUUUUACAUCUGGGUCUGACUGCAGACAAGCAAGAGCGGGCGGAAUGGAGUGAUGGGCAAUCCAGCUGCAAGAAGAGGUGCAUACCCCUCUGUAGACAGCACAUCUGUGCAGGUGUCUAACAGCCGCCUCAUGGAAGGAGUCAUGGAAGACGUUAGGCCCCUCCAGUUGGGAUCAAGCAACUGAUGCAAGCUUUGGACCAAAUGAAACAUUUCAAGAACUCAGAUUGUAAAAUCACAAUCAGCUGGAGGAAUUCGGAUCUGCAUCUGGCCCAGAAGAACAUUUUUGAGGAUCUUUUGAAAGUAUCACUAAGA
ensembl:lncRNA novel transcript